UCACAUCCUGGGGCUGAAGCCGGUCCCAAGGGUAUGGCUGUUCGCCAUUUAAAGUGGUACGCGAGCUGGGUUUAGAACGUCGUGAGACAGUUCGGUCCCUAUCUGCCGUGGACGUUUGAGAUUUGAGAGGGGCUGCUCCUAGUACGAGAGGACCGGAGUGGACGAACCUCUGGUGUUCCGGUUGUCACGCCAGUGGCAUUGCCGGGUAGCUAUGUUCGGAAAAGAUAACCGCUGAAAGCAUCUAAGCGGGAAACUUGCCUCAAGAUGAGAUCUCACUGGGAUCUUGAAUCCCCUAAAGGGCCGUCGAAGACUACGACGUUGAUAGGUUGGGUGUGUAAGCGCUGUGAGGCGUUGAGCUAACCAAUACUAAUUGCCCGUGAGGCUUGACCAUAUAACACCCAAGCAAUU
rnacentral:rRNA from 2 species